rnacentral:rRNA from 1 species
UGGGGAAUAUUGGACAAUGGGCGCAAGCCUGAUCCAGCCAUACCGCGUGGGUGAAGAAGGCCUUCGGGUUGUAAAGCCCUUUUGUUGGGAAAGAAAUCCAGCCGGCUAAUACCUGGUUGGGAUGACGGUACCCAAAGAAUAAGCACCGGCUAACUUCGUGCCAGCAGCCGCGGUAAUACGAAGGGUGCAAGCGUUACUCGGAAUUACUGGGCGUAAAGCGUGCGUAGGUGGUUAUUUAAGUCCGUUGUGAAAGCCCUGGGCUCAACCUGGGAACUGCAGUGGAUACUGGAUGACUAGAGUGUGGUAGAGGGUAGCGGAAUUCCUGGUGUAGCAGUGAAAUGCGUAGAGAUCAGGAGGAACAUCCAUGGCGAAGGCAGCUACCUGGACCAACACUGACACUGAGGCACGAAAGCGUGGGGAGCAAACA